UACGUAGGGCGCAAGCGUUGUCCGGAAUUAUUGGGCGUAAAGAGCUCGUAGGCGGCCUGUUGCGUCCGCUGUGAAAUCCCGGGGCUCAACCCCGGGCCUGCAGUGGAUACGGGCUGGCUAGAGGCAGGCAGGGGAGAACGGAAUUCCUGGUGUAGCGGUGAAAUGCGCAGAUAUCAGAAGGAACAUCAGUGGCGAAAGCGGCUUCCUGGUCCAGCACCGACGUUCAGGCACGAAAGCGUGGGGAGCAAACAGG
rnacentral:rRNA from 1 species